GCUCCAGCUUGGCAGCUGCGGCAGUUUGUUACUCGAGGCCGCGCUUCAAGGCGGGCCCCGAAGGCCCAGCCUGGUGGAGAGUUGAUUUUAUCAGCAGUGUGGUUUCUCCAUGUUUGACAGCUUCCCUUUGCUCACCCAAGCACCUGCCAGAACCAUGUGAUAGUCUGGACGUUUCCUGGCCUCCUUGUAAAGAAGAUAAAGGGACACCCACACCCUUGGAUGUGUUUCUGAGUGUUGUCCUGAUCUUUCCAAACAUUUCAUCAGAAGACCCAGAUAGUAGUGUGGGCCAAAGAACAGAGCCAGCCUUUGUGCUGAGGAUCCCAUCACCACCCAUUGCUGAAGAAGAAUCAGGCCCCAGGACGGUAUGGAAAACACACCUGACACUACAAAUCUAGACUGUGAAACUGGCUCUCACCACAUGCCGUCUUCUCACCCUUCUCCACUGAAAAAGAAAAGGGAAAUGUAUGAUAACCAAUUAGAAGAGGACAGGGAAUCCUCUAUUAAAGCUUAAUAGUAAUUACUAUAUUUAGCUUCUUACAGAACUAAAAAAUACAUAUUAUUGUAAAGAUGUUAAGAACUGCACAUAAAGAUGAAAAUAAAACCAGACCCCAUCCCAGGAUACCCCUGCUUUUUUAGCAUUUUAUGGCAUACUUCCCUAAACUUUAAUAAAAUGUUUCAGUGAUUUAAAAGUGAAA